rnacentral:rRNA from 1 species
UGGUAUCUUAUUAAACAAAAAUAGUCAUAUUGUUCCUCUAUUGAUCAAGAAUUUUGAUUUUUGGGAAGUAUCAUGAUCAUCCAAUAAGAAGAGUUUCAAUUUUUUCAAAUGAACAAUUUGAAGACCUAUUGAUUCUAACAAUUGAUUGCAGAGUUGAUCAUUUGGACCUUUCAAUUCAUAGACGUAGAUCUCGGACCUAUGAAUAGGGUUAUUGUUCUUACUAAGGCUAUGAUCAGUAGCUGGUCCCAGAGGAUGAUCAGCCACACUGGGACUGAGACACGGCCCAAACUCCUACGGGAGACAGCAAUGGGGAAUUUUUCGCAAUGGGCGAAAGCCUGAUGGAGCAAUGCUGCGUGAAGGUGGAAAGCCCACAGGUCGGGAACUUCUUUUCCCAAAGAAGAAGUAAUGAUGGUAUCUGGGGAAUAAGUAUCGACUAACUCUGUGCCAACAGCCACGGUAAUAUAGAGGAUGCAAGCAUUAUCCGGAAUGAUUGGGCGUAAAGCGUCUGUAGYUGGCUUUUUAAGUCCGCCGUCAAAUCCCAGGGCUCAACCCUAGACAGGCGGUGAAAACUACCAAGCUGGAGUACGGUAGGGGCAGAYGGAAUUUCUAGUGGAGCAAUGAAAUGCGUAGAGAUCGAAAAGAACACCAACGGUGAAAGCACUCUGCUGGCCUGACAGUGACACUGAGAGAUGAAAGCUAGGAGAGCGAAUGGGAUUAGAUACGCUAGUAGUCCUGGCCAUAAACAAUGGAUACUAGGCGCUGUGCAUAUUGACCCGUACAGUGCUGUAGCUAAUGCGUUAAGUAUCCCGCUUGGGAAGUACGUUCGCAAGAAUGAAACUCAAAAGAAUUGAUGGGGGCCCGCACAAGCGGUGGAGCAUGUAGUUUAAUUCGAUGCAAAGCGAAGAACCUUACUAGGGCUUGACAUACUGUGAACCCUCUUGAAAGAGAGGGGUGCCUUCGGGAACGCAGACAUAGGUAGUGCGUAGCUGUCGUCAGCUCGUGCCGUAAGGUGUUGGGUUAAGUCCCGCAAUGAGCGCAAUCCUCUUGCUUAGUUGCCAUCGUUGCGUUUGUAACCCUGAACAAACNGGGGGCCCGCACAAGCGGUGGAGCAUGUAGUUUAAUUCGAUGUAAAGCGAAGAACCUUACUAGGGCUUGACAUACUGUGAACCCUCUUGAAAGAGAGGGGUGCCUUUGGGAACGCAGACAUAGGUAGUGCGUAGCUGUCGUCAGCUCGUGCCGUAAGGUGUUGGGUUAAGUCCCGCAAUGAGCGCAAUCCUCUUGUUUAGUUGCCAUCGUUGCGUUUGUAACCCUGAACAAACUGCUGUUGAUAAGCCGGAUGAAGSUGAGGAUGACGUCAAGUCAUCAUACCCCUUAUGCCCUGGGCGACAUACAUGCUACAAUGGCCGCYGCGAAGGGUCGCGAUCAGUUUCUCCUCAAGAAAUAAGCGCCUG